rnacentral:tRNA from 1 species
GGGUGAGUAGCUCAGUGGUAGAGCAGGAGCCUCUUAAGCUCUUGGUCGUGGGUUCGAGACCCACCUCACCCACCA